rnacentral:rRNA from 1 species
UACGUAGGGUGCGAGCGUUGUCCGGAAUUAUUGGGCGUAAAGAGCUCGUAGGCGGCUUGUCGCGUCGUCCGUGAAAACCUGCAGCUCAACUGCAGGCUUGCGGUCGAUACGGGCAGGCUAGAGUUCGGUAGGGGGAGACUGGAAUUCCUGGUGUAGCGGUGAAAUGCGCAGAUAUCAGGAGAAACACCGGUGGCGAAGGCGGGUCUCUGGGCCGAUACUGACGCUGGAGGAGC